rnacentral:rRNA from 1 species
UACGUAGGGGGCAAGCGUUAUCCGGAUUUACUGGGUGUAAAGGGAGCGUAGACGGUAGUGCAAGUCUGGAGUGAAAGGCGGGGGCCCAACCCCCGGACUGCUCUGGAAACUGUGCGACUAGAGUGCAGGAGAGGUAAGUGGAAUUCCUAGUGUAGCGGUGAAAUGCGUAGAUAUUAGGAGGAACACCAGUGGCGAAGGCGGCUUACUGGACUGUAACUGACGUUGAGGCUCGAAAGCGUGGGGAGCAAACAGG